rnacentral:rRNA from 1 species
UGCCAGCCGCCGCGGUAAUACGGAGGGGGUUAGCGUUGUUCGGAAUUACUGGGCGUAAAGCGUACGUAGGCGGAUUGGAAAGUAGGGGGUGAAAUCCCAGGGCUCAACCCUGGAAUUGCCUCCUAAACUAUCAGUCUAGAGUUCGAGAGAGGUGAGUAGAAUUCCAAGUGUAGAGGUGAAAUUCGUAGAUAUUUGGAGGAACACCAGUGGCGAAGGCGGCCUCCUGGCUCGACACUGACACUGACGCUCAUGAACGAAAGCGUGGGGAGCAAACAGGAUUAGAUA